rnacentral:lncRNA from 1 species
GGACCUCUUUUGUACGUGUGCGGAGUAUUAUGCAGCAUUGGCGCAAUAACACAUCACCCUCAGGCUUCCCUGUGGUAGAUUAGUUUAGGUAGAGGUCGCUUGUGGCCUCUAACGAAUAAAAAAAAAACUCCGUAUAUUUAUAUAAGGUUUUAAUAUCAAAAUCGGGAUUUGUUCCCCAACAAAUGAUUUCCACUUCCACGUGUUGGUACCGAGUUUCCAAGAGACAAGAGAUGACAAACAAUAUCAAUUUUAAUUAAAUAAUACAAAAAAAAAUAUAAAGAAACAAAGGCGCGAAAUAUACAAAACAAUGGAUUAAGACUAUACAUAUACAUAUUACUAUUGCAAAAAUUAAAAUUAGGUUUUACAAAAACUAAAAUCCGAAUCAAGGUAAUGCUUACAAAUACUUUUUUUACAGAAGUAUAGAUGAGCUGUACAGUUAAUCUGAAGGCAGAUGAAUACGGAUUCCCUUUUCUUCUACGCUAAAACAUUCUCGGCGAACAAACUUAAGAAUAGAUACACUGAGACUGUGAUGACACUCUGGUUUCCACCGUACUAAACGACCACGGGGUCAACAACAACCUUUUUCACCCCCGGAAGAUAUAUAUAUAUACCCCCGGUAAAAGUUAGUGCUGCCUCCUAUCAACAAAAACAAUGCUGCCCCCCUAUCGGCAGAAAUCACUAUCACAUCAAAUAAAUAAAAAAAAAAAGAAAAAUUGGUCAAUGACCACAUCCCUUACCCCGAGGGAACAAAGAGAAGUCAGUCGAAGGUCGGUUACAACACAACUGUUUUUUUGUAAAAGUGCCUUUGUUUUUUCAUUAAAGUUCUUGUUCAUACAAAUCCUGUGUGGUUUAUUCAGAAAGCUUCCAC